UACGGGGGGGGCAAGCGUUGUUCGGAAUUACUGGGCGUAAAGGGCUCGUAGGCGGCCGACUAAGUCAGACGUGAAAUCCCUCGGCUCAACCGGGGAACUGCGUCUGAUACUGGGUGGCUUGAAUCCGGGAGAGGGAUGCGGAAUUCCAGGUGUAGCGGUGAAAUGCGUAGAUAUCUGGAGGAACACCGGUGGCGAAGGCGGCAUCCUGGACCGGCAUUGACGCUGAGGCGCGAAAGCCAGGGGAGCAAACGGG
rnacentral:rRNA from 1 species